UACGUAGGGUGCAAGCGUUGUCCGGAAUUAUUGGGCGUAAAGAGCUCGUAGGCGGUCUGUCGCGUCGGACGUGAAAAUCCAGGGCUCAACCCUGGACCUGCGUUCGAUACGGGCAGACUAGAGUUCGGUAGGGGAGACUGGAAUUCCUGGUGUAGCGGUGAAAUGCGCAGAUAUCAGGAGGAACACCGGUGGCGAAGGCGGGUCUCUGGGCCGAUACUGACGCUGAGGAGCGAAAGCGUGGGGAGCGAACAGG
rnacentral:rRNA from 1 species